UACGAAGGGGGCUAGCGUUGCUCGGAAUCACUGGGCGUAAAGGGUGCGUAGGCGGGUCUUUAGGUCAGGGGUGAAAUCCUGGAGCUCAACUCCAGAACUGCCUUUGAUACUGAAGAUCUUGAGUCCGGGAGAGGUGAGUGGAACUGCGAGUGUAGAGGUGAAAUUCGUAGAUAUUCGCAAGAACACCAGUGGCGAAGGCGGCUCACUGGCCCGGUACUGACGCUGAGGCACGAAGGCCAGGGGAGCAAACGGG
rnacentral:rRNA from 1 species